rnacentral:rRNA from 1 species
GCUUACGGCCACACCUCCCUGAGCACGCCCGAUCUUGUCUGAUCUCGGAAGCUAAGCAGGGCUCGGGCCCGGUUAGUACUUGGAUGGGAGACCGCCUGGCAAUACCAGAUGCUGUAAGCC